rnacentral:rRNA from 1 species
GACGAACGCUGGCGGCGUGCCUAAUACAUGCAAGUAGAACGCACAGUUUAUACCGUAGCUUGCUACACCAUAGACUGUGAGUUGCGAACGGGUGAGUAACGCGUAGGUAACCUGCCUGGUAGCGGGGGAUAACUAUUGGAAACGAUAGCUAAUACCGCAUAAUAUUCAUUAUUGCAUGAUAAUUAAUUGAACGGUGCAAUUGCACCACUACCAGAUGGACCUGCGUUGUAUUAGCUAGUAGGUGAGGUAACGGCUCACCUAGGCGACGAUACAUAGCCGACCUGAGGGGGUGAUCGGCCACACUGGGACUGAGACACGGCCCAGACUCCUACGGGAGGCAGCAGUAGGGAAUCUUCGGCAAUGGACGGAAGUCUGACCGAGCAACGCCGCGGGAGUGAAGAAGGGUUUCGGAUCGUAAAGCUCUGUUGUAAGAGAAGAACGGGUGUGAGAGUGGAAAGUUCACACUGUGACGGUAUCUGACCAGAAAGGGACGGCUAACUACGUG